rnacentral:lncRNA from 1 species
AACUUGAGAAGCUGCGAGACUUGCUUGGUGUUAGACUAAUGGAAACUCAGAUUAAGGAGGAUGUAUUGUUGUUAAUAUGAGUUUUUCCCUUCCAACUGUAAUAAUUGUGUUUUUAGACAGUUAGCUCACUCUCUUCCAGUUUAUAUACCUUGUACUUACAUUCAUCAUUAACGAAUGAGAAUUAUAAUCCACAUUUGAAUACCUC